CAAAGUGAUUUGCUCAAUUUUCUUUUUCUGUAUAUCCUUAUACAUUUUUAAGGCAGAUUUAUUGCUAGUAAAAGUGCUGGCUGGACAAAGCUCUCUCAUGCUGUGCGCUUGCUUUUUCUUCUCCUGAAUGUUUUUAAACCUCUCUAGGUGUUUUGUCUUUUUGACAUAGACUGGCAGAGUAGGCAUCCUGGAUUCCCGGUUCACGGCUGCAGGGGCUUUGCUGGCUUGCUGGCUGCCCAGCCUAGCCAACUCCAGCCCUGCAGGGCCCACUCAGCGGGUGUACAGCACCAGAUGGAGAGAGGGAAGGCAGACCCAGCAAGAAUCCUCACGAAGAGGAGCUAGCAUCCCGGGGAAGAAAAAGAUCGUGCAGGACCAGUUGGACAAGAGCCCAGCUCUGAGUAACUCCCUGCAUUCAGGGAAAAUAAAAUCACAAAUGAGAACAGCAGGGGGCCAAGGACCAGCUGGAGACAAAAGGGUGUUAGCUUCGGGGUGGGGGCUGUGAGACAAGCAAGGCUCUAGUGAGAUAUUCCAAAGUCUGGCCUGCCAUGGACAGCUGCCAUCCGAGCUGCAGGCCUGGAAUGUUGUCACAAGCUCAGCGAGCCAUCCUGUCUGCCUCAGCCCAGGACCCGGAAAGACUGAUGAGACAAGAAAGGCCUUGGGCUUCCUCUUGCCUCCUGCAUCUUUUAGCCUUCCCUGAACAACCCUGGCAACUUAGCAGGUUUGUCACUUACUGCCUCCCCAGCCCAUUCAGUCCUACAAAAGUGGAGGUGGUGAUUGACUGA
rnacentral:lncRNA from 1 species